GGAGAGGUGUCCGAGUGGCUGAAGGAGCACGCUUGGAAAGCGUGUUCUCGCGAAAGCGGGACGUGGGUUCGAAUCCCACCCUCUCCGCCA
rnacentral:tRNA from 1 species